rnacentral:rRNA from 1 species
GACGAGCUCUCCAAACGUUAUUCGGAAUCACUGGGCUUAAAGAGUUCGUAGGCGGUCUGGUAGGUGAGGUGUGAAAUCCCCCGGCUCAACCGGGGAACUGCGCUUCAAACCACCGGACUUGAGGGAGACAGAGGUGGGCGGAACAGAUGGUGGAGCGGUGAAAUGCGUUGAUAUCAUCUGGAACACCGGUGGCGAAAGCGGCCCACUGGGUCUUUUCUGACGCUGAGGAACGAAAGCUAGGGUAGCGAACGGG